GCUAAGCAUUUGGUGAAGUAUUGUAGGGGCUAUAAAACACAUGCUUAUUAGCAGUAAUUUGCAGCUAAAUUAAUGUAAUAGCUUUGAGUAAAAGUGUUAGUAAAAAAAAUAUUUGGUUCUGGUAUAAUGUUAGCUACAGAGUUUUUUACAUUACACAAUGUAGGAUAAUUUCGUGAUGUGUAAAAGUCUGAUUUACGUGAUAAGCCAAAAUUUAAGACAUCCUAAAAGGAUGGGCUGGCAGCGGGAGCAUAAGUUUUUAAUGAUGACGCGAAGGAAAUCACAACUCAAGUGGGUAGAUCUGGAAAUCAAUGAGUUCUAGCUUGAAACGAAUAAAAAACUAACUAAAUUGAAGCGAAAGGGGGUGCCAGCAGCUGCGGUCACUCCCCCUAUCGAGGAGCUAAUAAGGGUGCAGCUUAGAGGCAGUUAGUCAAAACGAAUAAUGCAAGACAUACAGCAGGGACUAUGGGUGAAAUCUCAGUCCUGCGGGAGGUCCAAAGCUUGCGUAAAGAUGAUUCUGCGAAGUUAUGGGCAUAGACCCGGAUUUGAUACCCGGUUAUUCCAUAAUGUCAAGUACAGCUAUUUUAACUGAAUAAAUAGUUUGCUAGGGGUACUACGAGCAACUGCUUAAAACUCGAAGAACUUGGCGGUUCCGUAUAACCACCCAGAGGCUCUUGGCGCUUAAUCUGAUGAUCCGCGUGAUAUCUUACCUGCCCUAUAGAAAGCAGUGUACUGCCGUCGAAAGCUUAUGAUGUGAGUAAAUGAAAAUAGGCCUGAUCUUGGGGUUUUAAGUGAUUAGUACCAUGCCGAGGCUAGGUCAGGUCGAAGUGCUCCUUAUGGGCAAGGGGUUAGCUGAGAGACAAGUAUUUAGAUAUAUAAAGAUUUUAGGGAUGAAAUUCUCUUUAGUGUAUAUAAGGAUUUGGGAGUAAAAAGAGAGUAACUCGUUUUUUUGAAAAGACGCAACUGCGGUGCGUUCAAAUCGCCCGUCACCCUAGCCAAAAGGAGAGGUAAGUCGUAACAUGGUAAGGGUAGGGGAACUUGCUCUUUUAAUUGUAAAUAUAAAAUAGUUUAC
rnacentral:rRNA from 1 species